UUCAUUGACUAUGCUAAAGCCUUUGACUAUGUGGAUCAUAACAAACCGUGGAAAACUCUUAAAGAGAUGGGAAUACUGGACCACCUUCCCUGUCUCCUGAGAAACCUAUAUGCAGGUCAAGAAGCAACAGUUAGAGCCAGACAUGGAACAAUGAUUUGUUCAAAAUUGGGAAAGGA